AGAGUUGGUCUAGAGGUUGCGGAAUCAUUUUAUCAAUGAUUCCGAGGAAAGUCCGAACUCCCGAAAGACCACACUUGCUGGAUAACGUCCAGUGCGCGCGAGCGUGAGGAUAGUGCCACAGAAAAAUACCGCCCCCUUUUUUCAGUGUUGCCAAAGGCACGGCGUAGCCGUCCAGUAAACAGUGAUCAGUAAACAGUAACGAAAGUAAAUUCACUGAUAACUAAUAACUUUCCACUGAUAACUGAUAACUGAUCACUGAUAACUGAUUGGGGGUAAGGGUGCAAAGGUGCGGUAAGAGCGCACCAGCAGUAUCGAGAGGUGCUGGCUCGGUAAACCCCGGUGGGGAGCAAGGUGGAGGGACAAAGGUUGGUCUUUUUCCUGUCCCGUUUUUAGGAACCGCUUGAGGUAAUUGGUAACAAUUAUCCCAGAUAGAUAACCUCUAUUCCAACAAAGGUAAAAGCAAUUUUACUGCUGUUGGGAAAUACAGAAUUCGGCUUAUGUCUGACUCUCUCC
rnacentral:RNase_P_RNA from 1 species